GAGGGUAUAGCUUAGUUGAAGAGCGCGUGCUUAGCAUGCACAGAGUCCUGGGUUCAAUCCCCAGUGUUUCCA
rnacentral:tRNA from 1 species